rnacentral:rRNA from 1 species
AAAUACCUCGGAAACUGAGAUAUAUUUCAUAGUGAAUAGGCUGGAAAAGUUUUCAAUGAAAGGAAAAGAUAAAUGGUCUUUUCUGCCAUAGGAUAGGAUCGUGGUCGAUUAUGGUAGUUGGUGAGGUAAUGGCUCACCAAGCCGAUAAUCGAUAGGGGCCGUGAGAGCGGGAGCCCCGAGAUGGGUACUGAGACACCGACCCAGACCUUACGAGGUGCAGCAGGCGCGAGACCUCCGCAAUACACGAAAGUGUGACGGGGUUACCCAAAGUGUUCAUUUUUGAACUGUGGUAGGUGAGUAAUGUCCCCUACUAGAAAGGAGAGGGCAAGGCUGGUGCCAGCCGCCGCGGUAAAACCAGCUCUUCAAGUGGUCGGGAUGAUUAUUGGGCUUAAAGUGUCCGUAGCCGGUUUAGUAAGUUCCUGGUAAAAUCAGGUAGCUUAACUAUCUGUAUGCUAGGAAUACUACUAUACUAGAGGGCGGGAGAGGUCUGAGGUACUACAGGGGUAGGGGUGAAAUCUUAUAAUCCUUGUAGGACCACCAGUGGCGAAGGCGUCAGACUGGAACGUGCCUGACAGUGAGGGACGAAAGCCAGGGGAGCGAACCGGAUUAGAUACCCGGGUAGUCCUGGCCGUAAACGAUGCAUACUAGGUGAUGGCCCGGCCAUGAGCCGUGUCAGUGCCGUAGGGAAACCGUUAAGUGUGCCGCCUGGGAAGUACG